GAGGAAAAAAUGAAAAUUGCCCACUCAUGUUCCCAGGAAGGAACCAAAGGCAAAAAAACGAUUCUUGCUGUUGCAUGAACAGGAAUGUGGGACUUCCCUAUCAUACUGCACACCUCCUCUUUACUACAUGUUUACUGCUAAGUCCAAUAUGGUAAGAAGACAAAAAGCUCCAGAGAGGGUGGAAGUGGAAUGAUGCAAAUGAUUGCUAAAUUCAGAAAGAAUAAAUGGAGCUUUCUCAGCUUAGCAACACCAAUUUUCCUCCAGGGAGAAAGCCUACUUGAAGGUACCAGUUAUCAUCUGCACCAUUGACUACUGGGAAGUUGUGGCCAAGAGAGAGCCAGUGACAAUCCUGAGGUCACCAAGCCAAGAGGCUGUCCCCAUCCAGGACUGGAGGCCAGAAAGAAGAGUUAAAAGAACACAUGAGACUAAUCCGGCACUGAGACACACUCAAGAGAUUCAGAACUACAAGAAACAGGAAUCUCACCACACAGAUAUAAAACUGCUUCAUUUCUGGAUCCCCUCUAAAUUUUGUGCUCCUGGAGCCCAGAGGUAACCUGAGUUCAGAUAGAGCAUCCAACAUCUCAGGUGAGCAGCCAUACUGAACUUCUCUGUGAAGGCCACCUGGAGCAGGAGAUCCCCCCUUGCCCUCAUGUUUGCUUCAGCUGGAGCAGAUCCCUCUGAGAGUCUGGAUCAGGCAAUACAUCAGCUCUUGAGGUGUAAAGGACCUGGUGAGAAGCAAUACUCUCUCAGCUGCUUUCUCCCAGAGCCUUGAAUGUGUGCUACUUGGAUGGCAACUACAAACUUUCCCACUACCACUUGGCUUUGCAGUCCUGCAGCACUUGUGUGAACCUCCAGUGACCAUUUCCCUUCAUCUUUUAU